CUCCUUCCACUGAGCAUU
rnacentral:snRNA from 1 species